rnacentral:rRNA from 1 species
AAUGAACGUUGGCGGCGUGGAUUAGGCAUGCAAGUCGCGCGAUAAAUGUAGCAAUACAUGGAAAGCGGCGAAAGGGACAGUAACGUGUGGGAACCUACCUCGGGGUCUGGGAUAGCGGCGGGAAACUGCCGGUAAUACCAGAUGACAUCCCCGGAUCAAAGGUGUGAUUCCGCCCUGAGAUGGGCCCACAUGCUAUUAGUUAGUUGGCGGGGUAAUGGCCCACCAAGACUAAGAUGGCUAGCGGGUGUGAGAGCACGACCCGCGUCACUGGGACUGAGACACUGCCCAGACACCUACGGGUGGCUGCAGUCGAGAAUCUUCGGCAAUGGGCGCAAGCCUGACCGAGCGACGCCGCGUGCGGGAUGAAGGCCCUCGGGUUGUAAACCGCUGUCGAGGGGGAUGAAAUUCCGGUGGGUACUCCCAUCGGAUUGACAGAUCCCUGGAGGAAGGGUGGGCUAGGUUCGUGCCAGCCGCCGCGGUAA